rnacentral:ncRNA from 1 species
ACGGUGCGAACGGCGCCGCCGGACGAGGACGACCCGUACCCGGACAGCGACAAGACGGGCCGCG